AGUCUUCAAUCACAAGUUUCAUCCGGCAUUGGAGGAUCUCGAUCCCUGAAAAAAUAUUAUAAUGUCACAAACAACUUUUUGAAGUAGGUCUUUCUAACAAACAUUUGAUAAUGUUCUUUACACUAAUAUAAGAAACAAGUAUAUAGCUUUCCAUAAUUUUAUGAGAUGUAAGAUUGAUUAUGGUUGGAACAUAGAAAAAAGAACUUGCGGUACUCAAUAGCCCUCACCUUAUGUAUGACAUAGUAAGAAAAUCACAUAACUGCAUUUUGCUUGCUCAAACAAAAUACACAACCUAUUCUUUCCCGUUUCAUUUCAAUAAAAUUCUGAAAGUACGUACAUAGAAAGAUGUCUUAUUUUCUCAAACGCGAUCCCUGCUUCGACUUGAAUGACCAUGUAAUCGUGCCACAAAGAUGCAG
rnacentral:lncRNA from 1 species